AAACUGCGAUAAGUAGUGUGAAUUGCAUUUAGUGAAUCAUCGAAUCUUUGAACGCACCCUGCACUCACUGGUAUUCCGGUGAGUACGCCUGUUUCAGUAUCAUUGAAAACACACAAUCAAAACAUUUUCUUUGGUUUGAUUGGCUUUGGGUCUAUCAAAAAGUUUGGCUUGUUUCUUACAAGCCAAGCGGCCUGAAAUAUAUUGUCUGGCUAAUUGCAUCGUUGAUGAUCGCUAUUAGACUUUGGCUUUUUUAAAUGAACUGGAGGUUGAUUAACCAGUUUUAGCUUUAGUCAAAUGGUCAUUGUAACAAAAAUCUCGAUCUUGGCUAGGUGUUUAUAGCCGAAAAUUUUUUUUUGGCUAUAACCGAAACCAAUAUAAUCACAUUUAGUUAUCGAUCUGAAAUCAGGUGGGACUACCCGCUGAACUUAAGC
rnacentral:misc_RNA from 1 species